rnacentral:rRNA from 1 species
UACGGAGGGGCUAGCGUUGUUCGGAAUUACUGGGCGUAAAGCGCGCGUAGGCGGCUUUGCAAGUCGGGUGUGAAACCUCCAGGCUCAACCUGGAGACGCCACCCGAUACUGCUGUGGCUAGAGUCCAGUAGGGGAGUGUGGAAUUCCCGGUGUAGCGGUGAAAUGCGCAGAUAUCGGGAGGAACACCAGCGGCGAAGGCGGCACUCUGGGCUGGUACUGACGCUGAGGAGCGAAAGCUAGGGGAGCAAACGGG